UAGAUACCCUGGUAGUCCACGCCCUAAACGAUGAUAACUCGAUGUUGGCGAUACACAGUCAGCGUCCCAGCGAAAGCGUUAAGUUAUCCACCUGGGGAGUACGCCCGCAAGGGUGAAACUCAAAGGAAUUGACGGGGGCCCGCACAAGCGGAGGAGCAUGUGGUUUAAUUCGAUGAUACGCGAGGAACCUUACCCGGGCUUGAAAGUUAGUGACGGAUGCAGAGACGCAUCCUUCCUUCGGGACACGAAA
rnacentral:rRNA from 1 species